GCUUUCUUUCUGCAGCAGGAACCGCGGCUGCUGGACAAGAGGGGUGCGGUGGAUACUGACCUUUGCUCCAGCCUCGUGUAGCGUGAAGACACAGCGCAUCUCCCCGCUGUAGGUUUCCUCCCACAGAACCCGUUUCGGGCCUCAGAGCGUCUGGUGAGAUGCUGCUGCCGCUGCUUCUGCUGCUACCCAUGUGCUGGGCCGUGGAGGUCAAGAGGCCCCGGGGCGUCUCCCUCACCAAUCAUCACUUCUACGAUGAGUCCAAGCCUUUCACCUGCCUAGACGGUUCGGCCACCAUCCCAUUUGAUCAGGUCAACGAUGACUAUUGCGACUGCAAAGAUGGCUCUGACGAGCCAGGCACGGCUGCCUGUCCUAACGGCAGCUUCCACUGCACCAACACUGGCUAUAAGCCCCUGUAUAUCCCCUCCAACCGGGUCAACGAUGGUGUUUGUGACUGCUGCGAUGGAACAGACGAGUACAACAGCGGCGUCAUCUGUGAGAACACCUGCAAGACAGGAAUGAAGGAUGCUGAUGUUGAGAGAACCUGG
rnacentral:sRNA from 1 species